UUAUCGCACACACUGUAGGGACGUAUAAGCUUCUGAAAGGUAGUUAAAUUGAUGAGGGCUGUUUGUAAAUCCUGUGGGUCAAAUGUGUGCAUGUUGCAUUCGACACGUGGUUUUCUUCUGAGUAACGUGGCUGGUUCUUUGAAGACUUGAUUAUUUAAACAGGAACAUGCCCUAAAUGUGGCUGACUGGUUUGUGUUUAUAACCUGAUGAAGACCCUUUGGCUGCUGUAAUGCAAGUUGCACAAGACUCAUCUAGAGUACCUCAAUCUAGUGGUCUAGUGAAUUGAGAGGAAGAGGGUGUUGACUGUACUGUAAGAAGAGGUGAAAUCCCUGUAAAAAUCCUAGCGCAGGAAAAAAGUGUUGAAGAUCAGCCAGAAUGACGAUUCUCAAACGGUUCAAUGUGAAUGUAACAAGCGAAACUUCGACUGUGGUGUCAACUUAUCUGAAUGGAAUAUGAAUGUUCUUGUUUAAUUUUUAGUAAAUGAAUAUAAAGACCUGC
rnacentral:lncRNA from 1 species